AUAGGCAGCCUAAAUAUUCUAAAGGCACUAGAUUCCAUUUGGUCUUGGAAGCUAAGCAGGGUCCACUGUGAUCAGUACUUGAACAGGAGACUGCCAAUGUAUACCAAGUGCUGUAUUUC
rnacentral:rRNA from 1 species